rnacentral:rRNA from 1 species
UACGAAGGGUGCAAGCGUUACUCGGAAUUACUGGGCGUAAAGCGUGCGUAGGUGGUUUGUUAAGUCUGUUGUGAAAGCCCCGGGCUCAACCUGGGAAUGGCAAUGGAUACUGGCAGGCUAGAGUGCGGUAGAGGGUAGUGGAAUUCCGGGUGUAGUGGUGAAAUGCGUAGAGAUCCGGAGGAACACCAGUGGCGAAGGCGACACGCUGGGCCGUACCUGACACUGAUGCGCGACAGCAUGGGGAGCAAACAGG